rnacentral:rRNA from 1 species
GACGUAGGGCGCGAGCGUGUCCGGAUUUAUUGGGCGUAAAGAGCUCGUAGGCGGCUUGUCGCGUCGACUGUGAAAACCCGCGGCUCAACUGCGGGCCUGCAGCCGAUACGGGCAGGCUAGAGUUCGUAGGGGAGACUGGAAUUCCUGGUGUAGCGGUGAAAUGCGCAGAUAUCAGGAGGGAACACCGGGUGGGCGAAGGCGGAUCUCUGGGCCGAUACUGACGCUGAGGAGCGAAAGCGUGGGGAGCGAACAGG